UCAAUCUUUGUUCGUACAACUAGCCUUUGUUUUCAAGAGAAAAACGCCGUGCAUGAUCGAGCGGACAAGCUCCAUGGCGACGUCUACGUCUAUACAUAUACCCACAAAAGUACGUUUGUACAAUGAAGGAGUACGUGCACGUACCUUUCCUCCAAAAACCAGCAAUCAUUGCAACACCCACAAAAGUUAACGAGCCAAGCCCAGCUCGGAGGCGUGCUGCGUGGGGAGCGGCUAGAGGUUAAUCGACUGACCCAAUAAUGUGGUCAGCCAAAUACUAGUACAGACUAAAAGAGAAAAAAAAAAGAAGAAAACUGACUGACCCAAAUUUAGGGUCAGUCGACCAUCCCAACAACAAAACUAACUGAUUCAACGCUGAAAACUUCUGUUGGCUUGCCGUGCGUUCUUUCCAGCCCAAGAAUGUGAUGGGCCUGAACCCGCUAAGGAACCGAACCUAUUACACUCAAAACAACUUGAUUCAGCUGACACAUAGAUUAUCCUAAAAAAAAAGAAGCUCACACACAGAUUGCUAGGUCUACUUCCUUCCUCAUCCUUCCCCGAUCACCACACACAACCGUCGCCAUGGUUGGAGAAAGAAAAGCUCAGAUGUGUUGUUGUCUUGUGAUGUCUCCAUAGAUCUUCUUCCUCCCAUUUCUUCCUUCCAACCUCCUUCUCCUCUGAUCGCCCAAAUUUCUGCAGGCACCAGAAGAAAUGGUUGAAACUUCAGAUCCUACCCAAAACACAGAUCUAUCAAAAGGAAAAGCAAAAGGAAGAAAGAAGAAACCUGCAAACCAAGGUGCGGUGCCUGUGAUCUGUCCCCCCUCCCCUCUUAAUUUUUUCUGUGUCGUGCAACUUACGUGAUGACCUGACAUUUUCAUGUAACAACAACAGUAAAUUUAGAGAAGGAAGCAAGAAUGCAAAAAAUGAGUGUUUCAUAUAAAAUAUUAAACCCAUGCAAAAUCAUGUAGAUGGCAUGCUAUAACUUCUGAAUCUUGCUAUAACUUCUGAUUAGAUGACAUGUUUGUAUUGUACUAGAACUUGUUAAACUACAAGUAGUGUUUAACAAGUAAUGGCAGAAAACCUCCCUAAAGGCAGAAUAAACAAAUUCCAUAUAGUAACUACAUUUGCAUAUUCAGACAAGUAAGCUUGCAGUUGUUGUGAAAUGGGAAGAUGAAAGAAACUAUACUAUGAGAAUGCAUGCAUAUAUAAAAAAAUAUAACCACCACAUAUUUAGCUUGUUGUACUAGAAAAUGUUUAACACCAAGUAAAAGCAUAACACCUACCUGAAGGCGGAAAUUCAGAAAAUCCUCAUAUAAACUAAAUUUGCAUAUUCAGAGAAGUAAGCUUGCAGUUGUUGUCUAAUAGCAACAUACAAGAACUGUACUAAGAGCAUGCAUACAUAUUUAUAGAAAAGAUAACCACAACAUGUUUACCUGGUUGUACUAGAGAAAUGUUUACCUACAAGUAAUGGCAGAACAACUCCCCUAAUGGCACCAAUUAAAAAAACAUAUAUAAACUAAAUUUGCAUAUUCAGAGAAAUAAAGUUGCACUUCUUGACAAAUAGAAACAUACAAGAAAUAUUACUACGAGCAUGCAUGCAUAUUCACAGAAAAGAUAACCACGACAUCUACACCUGGUUGUGCAAAAGUAGUUGUUAAACUACAAGUAAAUGCAGAACACCUCCCUCAAGGGAGAAAUUACACAAGUUCAUAUAGGAACUAAAUUUGCAUAGUCACAAAACUAAACUUGCACUAAUUGUCGAAUAGCAACAUACAAGAACUAUUUCUACGAGCAUUUACAGAAAGAUAAUUACAACACCUACAGUGGGUACCUCCAUAAAGGUAGAAUUUAGAAAUUCCAUCUAGGAACUAAAUUUGCACAUUCAGACAACUAAACUUGCAGUCGUCAUCAAGAGCAACAAAAGUACUUAGAGAUAACCAUAACAAGUAGAUCUAGUUAUGAAAGUAGUUGGUAAACUACAAGGAAGGCAUAAUGCCUACUUACAAGCUUAAUUUAAAAUUUGUGCAGAUGGAUAACCGUACUUGCGCUUGUUGUUCAAGAGCAACAUAUAAUAGUAGAAGUUGCAACAUAUAAUACAACAGAGGUGAAGCACCAAACCUUCAACAACAUAUUCACAUAACUGAGUUGCAUGUUCAGAUAACCAAAAACUUUUUUUAAACGAGGCAAAAGAUUUGCCAUUUUCAUUGAUUAAGAGGAAGAGAGAUGCCCAGUUAAUUAGAGGAAAACCGGGCAAAAACCUAGAUUACAAACCCCACAUGGGGCACAUGCGGACGACCUGGCUAGCCAAAGAAGCCAAACAAUCGACCGCAGACGUCGAGGACCGACAUCUCCGAUUUUGCUAUUGCGCAUCACAGGAGAAAGUUUAAUCAUGAUGCAAAAACUUUAGACAUGCAUCUUCUAGCAAGCAAAUAGCAAGUUGUUUUCCAUAAUUAAGGAACAAGUUCAUGAUUGAAACUGAUUUUGCAUUUUCAGGCAAGUAAAAUUGCAGCAAAUGUUCAAGAGCAAGAACAAUAUGAGAAUGCAGAUAGACGAGAAGACAACAAGGUAAGGACACGUAUCUAAAGUUUUACUAUUACACUUAUUUCUUCCUAAUCUGACAUUUUCAAAACAUGUACAAUACAAAAUAUUUGAUAUGAAAUUUUUUUAGGUGCUGAAUCCAGAUCAAGGGAAUGAACAUGCAACAUAUGAGGUUAGUUUACAUUCUUUUCGAAUUUAUGAUGAUAACAAAGGAAUCAAAAAGAACUAACCUCUGGAUGAAGCUUGCAUUACAGGAGGCAGUGCUUGCACAAAGCUAUGCGGGACAAGAAGGUCAAUAUUACACCACAAAACAAAAGGAAUUAAGUAAAUAGGUGAAAUAUAACACUAUAUAAUAUUGCAUAAAAAAUGUAUGCACAUUUUUACAUGUACCUAAAGAACUUGAUAUCUGAUUUAUAUUUUGCAGGAAUUAGUUGAAGUUCAGUUUGGGAAGCAAAAUUUCCAAAUGAUUAAUGAGCUGCUAGCACCAGAAGGAGCCACAUAAUCUUACACAGAACUCAUGCAACAAAUGACUGAGGAGUCAUCUUCAAAGUGACAACAUGGCAAUCCCUAUAACUUGUUUCACUUCACUCUUACAUGCAAGAAUAAAUGCUGAGGUAUGCGUUAUUACUAAAACCUAUAUUCAAAGUUUUGAAAGAAGUUCAUUAGUACAGUAGCAGUACCUAAAAAUAAAUUAACUUGCAGGAUCAACAUCUCAUGACAGAAGAAAUAACAAGGAACCAUUUGGAACAACAUGUCGACUGGGACCAAUAUUCAAUACUCAAGUAGAAGAAGAAGAUGAAGUUGAAGAUGAAGACGAAGAUGAAGAUGAAGCAAAUGAGUGUACUUUUGAAUGUAGCAAUGAUCCAAAUCAAUCUGAUUUAGAGGAAGAUUACCUAGAACAAAAUACAAUAAGUUGUCAUCAGUUGCCUGCAGAUAAUGGGGAUUCAUGAUUGCACCUAAUAGAGCAGAGUUGAAACAAUUAUGAAUUAGUUACUGAGCAAGAACUAUACAUAACUGAAAAAGAGGUAUUUGUGUUGGGGAACGUAGUAAUUUCAAAAAAUUUCCUACGCACACGCAAGAUCAUGGUGAUGAUAUAGCAACGAGGGGAGAGUAUUGUCUAGUACCCUCGUAGACCGAAGCGGAAGCGUUGACGCAACGUAGAGGAAGUAGUCGUACGUCCUCCGGUUCAACCGAUCCAAGUACCGUUACUCCGGCACCUCCGAGUUCUUGACACGCGUACAACUCGAUGACGCACCCUCGAUCUCCGAUCCAGCAGAGGCGCCGAGGGGGAGUUCCGUCAGCACGACGGCGUGGUGACGAUCUUGAUGUUCUCGUGUUGCAGGGCUUCGCCUAAGCACCGCUACAAUAUGACCGAGGUGUAAUAUCGUGGAGGGGGGCACCGCACACGGCUAAGGAACGAUCAAUGAUCAACUUGUGUGUUCUAGGGUGCCCCCUACCCCCGUAUAUAAAGGAGGGAGGGAGGAGGUGGCCGGCCCUAGGGGGGGCGCGCCAUGAGGAGGGGGAAACCUACUCCAAGUAGGUUUCCCUCUCUUUUCCUUAUCUUAUUUGGAGGGGGAAGGAAAGAGUACUAGUAUUAGGAAGUAGUACUAGUAGUAGUAAUAGGAAGAGGAGGAAGGAGAAAGGAAAGGGGGGGCCGGCCCCCCUCCCCAAUUCGGAUUGGGCUUGGGGGGGCGCGCCCCCCUCCCUUGCUCCUUCUCUCUUCCUCCUACAUGGGCCCAAUAAGGCCCAUAUACCUCCCGGGGGGUUCCGGUAACCUCUCGGGGCUCCAAACUUCUCCGGAACCUUUCCGGUGUCCAAAUAUAUCCGUCCAAUAUAUCAAUAUUUAUGUCUCGACCAUUUCGAGACUCCUCGUCAUGUCCGUAAUCAUAUCCGGGACUCCGAACAACCUUCGGUACAUCAAAAUACAUAAACUCAUAAUAUAACUGUCAUCGAAACCUUAAGCGUGCGGACCCUACGGUUCGAGAACGAUGUAUACAUGACUGAGACACAUCUCUGCUCAAUAACCAAUAGCGGGACCUGGAUGCCCAUAUUGGUUCCUACAUAUUCUACGAAGAUCUUUAUCGGUCAAACCGCAUAACAACAUACAUUGUUCCCUUUGUCAUCGGUAUGUUACUUGUCCGAGAUUCGAUCGUCGGUAUCCAAUACCUAGUUCAAUCUCGUUAUCGACAAGUCUCUUUACUCGUUCUGUAAUACUUCAUCUUAUAACUAACUCAUUAGUUACAUGCUUGCAAGGCUUAGGUGAUGAGCAUUGUCGAGAGGGCCCAGAGAUACCUCUCCGACAAUCGGAGUGACAAAACCUAAUCUCGAAUUAUGCUAACUCAACAUGUACCUUCGGAGACACCUGUAGUACUCCUUUAUAAUCACCCAGUUACGUUGUGACGUUUGGUAGUACCCAAAGUGUUCCUCCGGUAAACGGGAGUUACACAAAUCUCAUAGUUACAGGAACAUGUAUAAGUCAUGAAGGAAGCAAUAGCAGAAUACUAAACGAUCAAGUGCUAAGCUAACGGGAUGGGUCAUGUCAAUCACCUCAUUCUCCUAAUGAUGUGAUCCCAUUAAUCAAAUGACAACACAUGUCAAUGGUUAGGAAACAUAACCAUCUUUGAUUAAUGAGCUAGUCAAGUAGAGGCAUACUAGUGACUAUAUGUUUGUCUAUGUAUUCACACAUGUAUCAUGUUUCCGGUUAAUACAAUUCUAGCAUGAAUAAUAAACAUUUAUCAUGAUAUGAGGAAAUAAAUAAUAACUUUAUUAUUGCCUCUAGGGCAUAUUUCCAUCAGUCUCCCACUUGCACUAGAGUCAAUAAUCUAGAUUACAUAGUAAUGAUUCUAACACCCAUGGAGUCUUGGUGCUGAUCAUGUUUUGCUCGUGAGAGAGGCUUAGUCAACGGGUCUGCAACAUUCAGAUCCGUAUGUAUCUUGCAAAUCUCUAUGUCUCCCACUUGGACUUGGUCCCGAAUGGAAUUGAAGCGUCUCUUGAUGUGCUUGGUCCUCUUGUGAAAUCUGGAUUCCUUUGCCAAGGCAAUUGCACCAAUAUUGUCACAGAAGAUCUUCAUUGGUCCCGAUGCACUAGGUAUGACACCUAGAUCGGAAAUGAACUCCUUCAUCCAGACUCCUUCAUUUGCUGCUUCAGAAGCAGCUAUGUACUCCGCUUCACAUGUAGAUCCCGCCACAACGCUUUGUUUAGAACUGCACCAACUUACAGGUCCACCGUUUAAUAAAAACACGUAUCCGGUCUGCGAUUUAGAAUCGUCCAGAUCAGUGUCAAAGCUUGCAUCGACGUAACCAUUUACGACUAGCUCUUUGUCACCUCCAUAUAUGAGAAACAUAUCCUUAGUCCUUUUCAGGUAUUUCAGGAUGUUCUUGACCGCUGUCCAGUGAUCCACUCCUGGAUUACUUUGGUACCUACCUGCCAAGCUUAUUGCUAAGCAUACGUCAGGUCUGGUACACAGCAUUGCAUACAUGAUAGAGCCUAUGGCUGAAGCAUAGGGAACAUCUUUCAUUUUCUCUCUAUCUUCUGCUGUGGUCGGGCAUUGAGUUUGACUCAACUUUACACCUUGUAGCACAGGCAAGAAUCCUUUCUUUGCUUGAUCCAUUUUGAACUUUUUCAAAAUUUUGUCAAGGUAUGUACUUUGUGAAAGUCCUAUUAAGCGUCUUGAUCUAUCUCUAUAGAUCUUGAUGCCCAAUAUGUAAGCAGCUUCACCGAGGUCUUUCAUAGAAAAACUUUUAUUCAAGUAUCCCUUUAUGCUAUCCAGAAAUUCUAUAUCAUUUCCAAUUAAUAAUAUGUCAUCAACAUAUAAAACUAGAAAUGCUACAGAGCUCCCACUCACUUUCUUGUAAAUACAGACUUCUCCAAAAGUCUGUAUAAAACCAUAUGCUUUGAUCACACUAUCAAAACGUUUAUUCCAACUUCGAGAUGCUUGCACCAGUCCAUAAAUGGAACGUUGGAGCUUGCACACUUUGUCAGCACUUUUUGGAUCAACAAAACCUUCAGGUUGCAUCAUAUACAACUCUUCUUCUAGAAAUCCAUUCAAGAAUGCAGUCUUGACAUCCAUUUGCCAAAUUUCAUAAUCAUGAAAUGCAGCAAUAGCCAACAUGAUUCGGACAGACUUAAGCAUCGCUACGGGUGAGAAAGUCUCAUCGUAGUCAACCCCUUGAACUUGUCGAAAACCUUUUGCAACAAGUCGAGCUUUGUAGACAGUAACAUUACCAUCAGCGUCAGUCUUCUUCUUAAAGAUCCAUUUAUUCUCAAUGGCUUGCCGAUCAUCGGGCAAGUCAACCAAAGUCCAUACUUUGUUUUCAUACAUGGAUCCUAUCUCAGAAUUCAUGGCCUCUAGCCAUUUUGCGGAAUCUGGGCUCAUCAUCGCUUCCUCAUAGUUCGUAGGUUCAUCAUGGUCUAGUAACAUGACUUCAAGAAUAGGAUUUCCGUACCACUCUGGUGCGGAUCUUACUCUGGUAGACCUACUAGGUUCAGUAGAAACUUGAUCUGAAGUUUCAUGAUCAAUAUCAUUAGCUUCCUCACUAAUUGGUGUAGUUGUCACAGGAACCGGUUCUUGUGAUGAACUACUUUCCAAUAAGGGAGUAGAUACAGUUAUCUCAUCAAGUUCUACUUUCCUCCCACUCACUUCUUUCGAGAGAAACUCCUUCUCUAGAAAGGAUCCGAUUUUAGCAACGAAAAUCUUGCCUUCAGAUCUGUGAUAGAAGGUGUACCCAAUUGUCUCCUUUGGGUAUCCUAUGAAGACACAUUUCUCCGAUUUGGGUUCGAGCUUAUCUGGUUGAAGUUUCUUCACAUAAGCAUCGCAGCCCCAAACUUUGAGAAAUGACAACUUUGGUUUCUUGCCAAACCACAGUUCAUAAGGCGUCGUCUCAACGGAUUUUGAUGGUGCCCUAUUUAACGUGAAUGCGACCGUCUCUAAAGCAUAACCCCAAAACGAUAGCGGUAAAUCGGUAAGAGACAUCAUAGAUCGCACCAUAUCAAGUAAAGUACGAUUACGACGUUCGGACACACCAUUUCGCUGUGGUGUUCCAGGUGGCGUGAGUUGCGAAACUAUUCCACAUUGUUUCAAAUGUAAACCAAACUCGUAACUCAAAUAUUCUCCUCCACGAUCAGAUCGUAGAAACUUUAUUUUCUUGUUACGAUGAUUUUCUACUUCACUCUGAAAUUCUUUGAACUUUUCAAAUGUUUCAGACUUGUGCUUCAUCAAGUAGAUAUACCCAUAUCUGCUCAAAUCAUCUAUGAAGGUGAGGAAAUAACGAUAUCCGCCACGAGCCUCAACAUUCAUCGGACCACAUACAUCUGUAUGUAUGAUUUCCAACAAAUCUGUUGCUCUCUCCAUAGAUCCGGAGAACGGUGUUUUGGUCAUCUUGCCCAUGAGGCACGGUUCGCAAGUACCAAGUGAUUCAUAAUCAAGUGAUUCCAGAAGUCCAUCAGUAUGGAGUUUCUUCAUGCGUUUUACACCGAUAUGACCUAAACGGCAGUGCCACAAAUAUGUUGCACUAUCAUUAUCAACUCUGCAUCUUUUGGCUUCAACAUUAUGAAUAUGUGUAUCACUACUAUCGAGAUUUAAUAAAAAUAGAGCACUCUUCAAGGGUGCAUGACCAUAAAAGAUAUUACUCAUAUAAAUAGAACAACCAUUAUUCUCUGAUUUAAAUGAAUAACCGUCUCGCAUCAAACAAGAUUCAGAUAUAAUGUUCAUGCUCAACGCAGGCACCAAAUAACAAUUAUUCAGGUCUAAAACUAAUCCUGAUGGUAGAUGUAGAGGUAGCGUGCCGACCGCGAUCACAUCGACUUUGGAACCAUUUCCCACGCGCAUCGUCACCUCAUUCUUAGCUAAUCUUCGCUUAAUCCGUAGUCCCUGUUUCGAGUUGCAAAUGUUAGCAACAGAACCAAUAUCAAAUACCCAGAUGCUACUGCGAGCAUUAGUAAGGUACACAUCAAUAACAUGUAUAUCACAUAUACCUUUGUUCACUUUGCCAUCCUUCUUAUCCGCCAAAUACUUGGGGCAGUUCCGCUUCCAGUGUCCAGUCUGCUUGCAGUAGAAGCACUCAGUUUCAGGCUUAGGUCCAGACUUGGGUUUCUUCACUUGAGCAGCAACUUGUUUGCCGUUCCUUUUGAAGUUCCCCUUCUUUUUCCCUUUGUCCCUUUUCUUGAAACCAGUGGUCUUGUUGACCAUCAACACUUGAUGCUCCUUUUUGAUUUCUACCUCCGCGGCUUUCAGCAUCGCGAAGAGCUCGGGAAUAGUCUUGUUCAUCCCUUGCAUAUUAUAGUUCAUCACAAAGCUCUUGUAGCUUGGUGGCAGUGAUUGGAGAAUUCUGUCAAUGACGCUAUCAUCCGGAAGAUUAACUCCCAGUUGAAUCAAGUGAUUAUUAUACCCAGACAUUUUGAGUAUAUGCUCACUGACAGAACUGUUCUCCUCCAUCUUGCAGCUGUAGAACUUAUUGGAGACUUCAUAUCUCUCAAUCCGGGCAUUUGCUUGAAAUAUUAACUUCAACUCCUGGAACAUCUCAUAUGCCCCAUGACGUUCAAAACUUCGUUGAAGACCCGGUUCUAAGCCGUAAAGCAUGGCACACUGAACUAUAGAGUAGUCAUCAGCUUUGCUCUGCCAGACGUUCUUAACGUUGUCAGUUGCAUCAGCAGCAGGCCUGGCACCGAGCGGUGCUUCCAGGACGUAACUCUUCUGUGCAGCAAUGAGGAUAAUCCUCAGGUUACGGACCCAGUCCGUGUAAUUGCUACCAUCAUCUUUCAACUUUGCUUUCUCAAGGAACGCAUUAAAAUUCAACGGAACAAUAGCACGAGCCAUCUAUCUACAUACAAACAUAGACAAGCAAAAUACUAUCAGGUACUAAGUUCAUGAUAAAUUUAAGUUCAAUUAAUCAUAUUACUAAAGAACUCCCACUUAGACAGACAUCUCUCUAGUCAUCUAAGUGAUUACGUGAUCCAAAUCAACUAAACCAUGUCCGAUCAUCACGUGAGAUGGAGUAGUUUCAAUGGUGAACAUCUCUAUGUUGAUCAUAUCUACUAUAUGAUUCACGCUCGACCUUUCGGUCCCCGUGUUUCGAGGGCAUAUCUGUAUAUGCUAGGCUCGUCAAGUAUAACCUGAGUAUUCCGCGUGUGCAACAGUUUUGCACCCGUUGUAUUUGAACGUAGAGCCUAUCACACCCGAUCAUCACGUGGUGUCUCAGCACGAAGAACUUUUGCAACGGUGCAUACUCAGGGAGAACACUUCUUGAUAAUUAGUGAGAGAUCAUCUUAAAAUGCUACCGUCAAACAAAGCAAGAUAAGAUGCAUAAAGGAUAAACAUCACAUGCAAUCAAUAUAAGUGAUAUGAUAUGGCCAUCAUCAUCUUGUGCUUGUGAUCUCCAUCUUCGAAGCACCGUCUUGAUCACCAUCGUCACCGGCGCGACACCUUGAUCUCCAUCGUAGCAUCGUUGUCGUUACGCCAUCUAUUGCUUCUACGACUAUCGCUACCGCUUAGUGAUAAAGUAAAGCAAUUACAGGGUGUUUGCAUUUCAUACAAUAAAGCGACAACCAUAUGGCUCCUGCCAGUUGCCGAUAACUUCGGUUACAAAACAUGAUCAUCUCAUACAAUAAAAUAUAGCAUCAUCUCUUGGCCAUAUCACAUCACAACAUGCCCUGCAAAAACAAGUUAGACGUUCUCUACUUUGUUGUUGCAAAUUUUACGUGGCUGCUACGGGCUUAAGCAAGAACCAAUCUCACCUACGCAUCAAAACCACAACGAUAGUUUGUCAAAUAGACUCCGUUUUAACCUUCACAAGGACCGGGCGUAGCCACACUCGGUUCAACUAAAGUGAGAGAGACAGACACCCGCCAGCCACCUUUAAGCACGAGUGCUCGUAACGGUGAAACCAGUCUCGCGUAAGCGUACGCGUAAUGUCGGUCCGGGCCGCUUCAUCUCACAAUACCGCUGAACCAAAGUAUGACAUGCUGGUAGGCAGUAUGACUUAUAUCGUCCACAACUCACUUGUGUUCUACUCGUGCAUAUAACAUCAACACAUAAAACCUGGCUCGGAUGCCACUGUUGGGGAACGUAGUAAUCUCAAAAAAUUUCCUACGCACACGCAAGAUCAUGGUGAUGAUAUAGCAACGAGGGGAGAGUGUUGUCUACGUACCCUCGUAGACCGAAGCGGAAGCGUUGACGCAACAUAGAGGAAGUAGUCGUACGUCCUCCGGUUCAACCGAUCCAAGUACCGUUACUCCGGCACCUCCGAGUUCUUGACACGCGUACAGCUCGAUGACGCACCCUCGAUCUCCGAUCCAGCAGAGGCGCCGAGGGGGAGUUCCGUCAGCACGACGGCGUGGUGACGAUCUUGAUGUUCUCCUGUUGCAGGGCUUCGCCUAAGCCCCGCUACAAUAUGACUGAGGUGUAAUAUCGUGGAGGGGGGCACCGCACACGGCUAAGGAACGAUCAAUGAUCAACUUGUGUGUUCUAGGGUGCCCCCCUACCCCCGUAUAUAAGGAGGGAGGGAGGAGGUGGCCGGCCCUAGGGGGGGUGCGCCAUGAGGAGGGGGAAACCUACUCCAAGUAGGUUUCCCUCUCUUUUCCUUAUCUUAUUUGGAGGGGGAAGGAAAGAGUACUAGUAUUAGGAAGUAGUACUAGUAGUAGUAAUAGGAAGAGGAGGAAGGAGAAAGGAAAGGGGGGGCCGGCCCCCCCUCCCCAAUUCGGAUUGGGCUUGGGGGGGGGGGGCGCCCCCCUCCCUUGCUCCUUCUCUCUUCCUCCUACAUGGGCCCAAUAAGGCCCAUAUACCUCCCGGGGGGUUUCGGUAACCUCCCGGGGCUCCAAACUUCUCCGGAACCUUUCCGGUGUCCAAAUAUAUCCGUCCAAUAUAUCAAUCUUUAUGUCUCGACCAUUUCGAGACUCCUCGUCAUGUCCGUAAUCAUAUCCGGGACUCCGAACAACCUUCGGUACAUCAAAAUACAUAAACUCAUAAUAUAAUUGUCAUCGAAACCUUAAGCGUGCGGACCCUACGGUUCGAGAACGAUGUAGACAUGACUGAGACACAUCUCUGCUCAAUAACCAAUAGCGGGACCUGGAUGCCCAUAUUGGUUCCUACAUAUUCUACGAAGAUCUUUAUCGGUCAAACCGCAUAACAACAUACGUUGUUCCCUUUGUCAUCGGUAUGUUACUUGUCCGAGAUUCGAUCGUCGGUAUCCAAUACCUAGUUCAAUCUCGUUAUCGACAAGUCUCUUUACUCGUUCUGUAAUACUUCAUCUUAUAACUAACUCAUUAGUUACAUGCUUGCAAGGCUUAGGUGAUGAGCAUUGUCGAGAGGGCCCAGAGAUACCUCUCCGACAAUCGGAGUGACAAAACCUAAUCUCGAAUUAUGCUAACUCAACAUGUACCUUCGGAGACACCUGUAGUACUCCUUUAUAAUCACCCAGUUACGUUGUGACGUUUGGUAGUACCCAAAGUGUUCCUCCGGUAAACGGGAGUUACACAAUUCUCAUAGUUACAGGAACAUGUAUAAGUCAUGAAGGAAGCAAUAGCAGAAUACUAAACGAUCAAGUGCUAAGCUAACGGGAUGGGUCAUGUCAAUCACCUCAUUCUCCUAAUGAUGUGAUCCCAUUAAUCAAAUGACAACACAUGUCAAUGGUUAGGAAACAUAACCAUCUUUGAUUAAUGAGCUAGUCAAGUAGAGGCAUACUAGUGACUAUAUGUUUGUCUAUGUAUUCACACAUGUAUCAUGUUUCCGGUUAAUACAAUUCUAGAAUGAAUAAUAAACAUUUAUCAUGAUAUGAGGAAAUAAAUAAUAACUUUAUUAUUGCCUCUAGGGCAUAUUUCCUUCAAUUUGUACAAAUCAGUGAGGAAGCAUUGCAAGGACCUGAUUAUGCAGAAACAACAGAUAUAGAUGACACAAGCAGUAGUGAUGAAUCAGAGUUUGAAACAUGCACACAAUUUUCAAGAACAUCUUCCAUAUUAUCCAUGAUGAUACUGUUGGAAAUAUGCCCUAGAGGCAAUAAUAAAAGCAUUAUUAUUAUAUUUCCUUGUUCAUGAUAAUUUUCUUUUAUUAAUGCUAUAAUUGUAUUAUCCGGAAAUCAUAAUACACGUGUGAAUACAUAGACCACAAUAUGUCCCUAGUAAGCCUCUAGUUGACUAGCUCGUUGGUCAACAGAUAGUCAUGGUUUCCUGACUAUGGACAUUAGAUGUCAUUGACAACGGGAUCACGUCAUUAGGAGAAUGACGUGAUGGACAAGACCCAAUCCUAAGCAUAGCACAAGAUCGUGUAGUUCGUUUUGCUAGAGCUUUUCCAAUGUCAAGUAUCUCUUCCUUAGACCAUGAGAUCGUGUAACUCCCGGAUACCGUAGGAGUGCUUUGGGUGUACCAAACGUCACAACAUAACUGGGUGACUAUAAAGGUGCACUACAGGUAUCUUCGAAAGUGUCUGUUGGGUUGACACGGAUCGAGACUGGGAUUUGCCACUCCGUAUGACGGAGAGGUAUCUCUGGGCCCACUCGGUAAUGCAUCAUCAUAAUGAGCUCAAAGUGACCAAGUGUUUGGUCAUGGGAUCAUGCAUUACGGUACGAGUAAAGUGACUUGCCGGUAACGAGACUUAACGAGGUAUUGGGAUACCGACGAUCGAGUCUCGGGCUUGUAACGUACCGAUUGACAAAGGGAAUAGUAUACGGGGUUGCUUGAAUCCUCGACAUCGUGGUUCAUCCGAUGACAUCAUCGAGGAGCAUGUGGGAGCCAACAUGGGUAUCCAGAUCCCGCUGUUGGUUAUUUACCGUAGAGCCAUCUCGGUCAUGUCUGCGUGUCUCUCGAACCCGUAGGGUCUACACACUUAAGGUUCAGUGACGCUAGGGUUAUUAGGAAGACUUGUAUGUGAUUACCGAAUGUUGUUCGGAGUCCCGGAUGAGAUCCCGGACGUCACGAGGAGUUCCGGAAGGGUCCGGAGGUAAAGAUUUAUAUAUGGGAAGUGGUCAUGCGGACACCGGAAAGUUUCGGUGACAUAUCGUAUUGUACCGGGGCCACCGGAAGGGUUCCGGGGUCCACCGGGAGGGGCCACCCCUCUUGGUGGGCCACAUGGGCCGCGUGGGGCAGGGCACCAGCCCUUGGAGGGCUGGGAGCCCCCCCUUGGGCCCAUGCGCCUAGGGUUGGGGGGGGGCAACCCUAGAGGGGGCGCCCCCCUUUGCUUGGGGGGCAAGUCCCCCCUCCCUGGCCGCUGCCCCCCCUCUAGAUCCCAUCUAGAGGGGCCGGCCCCCUUGCCCCUUCCCCUAUAAAUAGAGGGGUGAGGGGAGGGCUGCAACAGACAACCCAAGGCGCAACCCCUCCCCUCCCCAACACCUCUCCUCCUCCGUCACGAGCUUGGCGAAGCCCUGCCGGAGUGCUGCUUCUCCACCAACACCAUGCCGUCGUGCUGCCGUUGGAGUUGUCUUCCUCAACCUCUCCUUCCUCCUUGCUGGAUCAAGAUGGAGGAGACGUCGUCCGUUCCGUACGUGUGUUGAACGUGGAGGUGUUGUCCGUUUAGCACUAGGUCAUCGGUGAUCUGAAUCACGGCGAGUACGACUCCAUCAUCCCCGUUCCAUUGAACGCUUCCGCACGCGAUCUACAAGUGGUAUGUAGAUGCAAUCACUCUCCCAUGACUCGUUGCUUAGAUGAACUCAUAGAUGGAUCUUGGUGAAACCGUAGGAAAUUUUUUAAUUUUCUGCAACGUUCCCCAACAGAUACAUAGAUCAUAUUUUUGUAUUUGUUGGAAGCGGAUAGAUUGAUAUGUACAAAAGAAGUCAAGUUAUAGGUAAUACAGAGAACCUCACCACAUUCAUGAUUAUAACUAAACUUGCAUGAAUUCAUCAAAGUCAACUAGAUUUAGAUCAUGCAAAGACAAAUUAUUGUUCCAUUUAUAUAACUGCAAACAAAGACAACCUACACAUGGGAUGGGGAACAACCCAUAAAAUACACAAGUUUCAUAUUAGCCAUGAUUAUACAAAAGAAUUGCAGUGGCUGAGUAAACACAUACACAUAGAUUGAUACCUACAAAAUAAGUAAAGUUAUAAAGAAAUGAUUAAUACAACUCACCAUCCGCCUGAAGCAAUCCUCAUCGAGGAGAACAAUAAACACUUCAGGAACUUCUUCAGGUGGCACGAAAGGAAGGCACAGAGCACCCGGACAGCGACAUAUGGGGGCAAACCAUAGCUACAGAAAAUAAAAAUAAAAAGCUUAAAUAAAAAGGAAAUUUUAUCUAAAUUACCCAACAGGGGAUAAGAAAAUUGGACAACCUAAAUGAACUAUAAAACAAAAAAAUACAUUCUAAUUAUAGCACAGACUUGCAUGAAUCUAAUUAUGCACAUAAAAAAGAGACCUCAAAAAAUGAAUUCCUACUCAAUGUAGAUAUGUUCAAAGAAGUGAAGCUAUAAGUAAUACACACAACCUCCCUAAAAUUCAUGAUUAUAGCUGAAGAAAUUGCAUGAUCAUUGAACUAAACUUGCAUAAAUUGCUAAAUAGCAAGGGGAUUUACAUCGUGGAGAUAGACAAAAGAACAUUAUUUAAAGUUGAUAACUACAAACACAUACAACAAUCAAACUACUAAAAAUUCAAAUAUUAGAAUAACACAUCAUCAUGCUAUUACUGCAAAGAUUCAAGUAACAAGCAUGCACCAGUAAAAAAGCUUGAAAAGUGUACUCAUGUAGGAUUAGGCAUUUCACCUAACUAUAUUCACUUAACAAUACUUUUUUUAGAUUAAAUAUGCACACACAUUAUUAAAAGUAAAAACAUCAUAGGCAUUUAUUAUGAACCUAAAAAAAUCUACCUACAUUACACAAGCACCCUUCACAAUUUGCACAAAUGAAAGCAAGAUAAAGAAGGAUUUAAUAGGAUACAGUACAAAAAUGAAAAGCACAAAAUGCUAGAAAAAACAUCUAAUUACCCAACAAGGUAUGAGAAACUUGCACAACCUAGAUGAACUAUGAAAACAUAAAAAAUUACAUGAUCAGUAGCAUGGACUAUAUUGCACAUAAAAAAGAAACCUCAAAAUGAUUUCCUACUGUAGAUAGAUAUCUACAAAGAACCUCCCUAGGACUCAUGAUUAUAACUGAAGAAAUUGCAUGUUCACGAAACUAAACUUGCAUAAAUAUCUCAACAGCAAAGGGAUUACUGCAAGAUUCAGGUAACAAGCAUGCAUCAGUAAAAAUCUUGAAAGUUUACUAAUGCAGCAUUAUGAAUUCAUUUAAUUUUACAUCUCUUAGAUUAAAUUUGCACACACAGUACUAACAGAUAAAAUAUGAACCUAAAAGGCCUACCUAAAUUGCACAAGCAGCCUUCACAAAAUAUCCACAUAUGAAAAAAGCAAGAUAAAAGAGGGAUUUAACAGGAUAGAGUACAAUAUGAAAAGUACAAACUGCUGCAAAUACAUACAUGAUAUACAAAAAAUAUUUUAAAACUAACCCAACUAAAACACCAAUAUACUAAAGAUAGGAACAAGCAUAUUAUAAGUACAGGAACCAAAACAACAAGCAUCAGUAUACUAAAAUCUAUGAAAAAGCAUAGUAUAAAUACAGAAACCAAAACUACAAAGCAUCAAUAUACUAAAAUCUAAGAACAAAACAUAGUUAAAAAACUGUAAGGAUUUGACAUAACAUAGAGCAAACACACAGUGCAUACAAAAAAAUCACUAAAUCAACAAUGACCUAGAAAUAGCAUUAGAAUAACAAUAUGCACAGAAAAUAUUUGACCUUUCAAGACAUAUAGUUUAGGGAUUAACCAAAUAACACUUACUAGCCAAAGUUAGAGCAAAUCUGAAAGGACUACAGAAAUCGUAACCAAAGCAUCAUAAACAAAGAACCCUAACCAUACUACUCGUACUACCACCAAAAACGCCAAUCUGAAGAAACCCUUACCAGACAUAAAUUAGAGCUAAUCAGAAGAAUACAAAAACCCUAACCGAAUCAUGAUAAACAUAAAAACAAAACUAUCUACUCGCAGCCCUAACUGAACACUAACCAUCUACUCGCAUUACCACAAAAAAAUAGAUCCCUAACCUGGCAAACAUUAGAGCAGAUCUGAAGAACACAGAAACAGUAAACAAAAGCAUGCUAAACAAGAAACCCCAUCCAUACUACUCUUACUACCACCAAAAACAAUACAGAAAGGAGAUUCAAGAAAGGAAAAAUACCUGGAAAAGAGGAGAUGCAGUAAAGGAAAUCGCUGAAUCAAGAAUGGCCGAGAUGUAAAUCAUGCAAACAGAAGAGCAACACAAACAUAAAGAAGCACCUUAGUUUCUUCAAAAACUAGAACAGAUCUAACAAGAAACAUACAGAAAGGAGAUUCAAGAAAAGAAAAAUACCUGGAAAAGAGGAGAUGCAGCAAAGGAAAUCGCUGAAUCAAGAAAAUGGCCAAGAUGUAAAUCCUGCAAACAAAAGAGCAACACAAACAUAAAGAAGCACCUUAGUUUCUUCAGAAACUAGAGCAGAUCUAACAAGAAACAUAGCUGGGAGGAAGUCACAACAGAGGACGAACUGGAUGAACCCUAGCUCUCGUAGGAAGAGGAGAUGACACAGAGCGAGAAGAGAGACUGAAGCAGCGAGGGGAAAGUGACUGACAAGAUACGAGAAGGGAGGAGAUAAGACCAGAACGGGCGACGCUCGGCAUCCAUAGCACCGGGCUGGGCUGCCAGCCUGUUAACGGGCGGCGUAGUCGUAGAAAACGGGCGCCCGCAAGCACAAUAAGCCCAAAAGCACAUUCGACUGACCCAAACAAGAGUCAGUCAAUUUCAGCUAGGCCCAACUGACUAGAAAAAACAUCAAAAAAGAAAAAGAAAGAACAAAUCUCAAAGCAAAAUCCAACUGUCAGAAAAUCAACUGACCCAAAAUCAAAAACUCAGCUGACUGAAAUAUAGAUAAAUUGUGCUGCGUGUCCCGAAAUCCGCAUGGCGAUUUCCCGAAAGCUACGACUCCACCCAGCUAUGCCAUGAGUCCAUGGCAUACUCCUACAUCGCACAAGAUCCGAUGAGAGAUUGGUACGGUCUGUGAUUGGUGUGAGACGAUGCAAAACCCGGGGAGGCACAUGCAGCUGGUAUCGACGGCCGGAGAGCGCCGGGCCACAUGCACGAGCACAGCGCCUCCGCCACCACCUGAUUGCCGACCGCGCGCCGCGGGGAUCCACCAAACCACCGCGCAUGGGCUCGAUCGAUCGGACCAGAAACGGUUCUCUUUCCGUCUUCAGCUUUUCCCGGCACACGCCGAUGCGAUGUGGCCAUGCAUGUGAGCCUGCGUACUACCCACCGUGCCUAGACGCAAGCAUGCAAGCAUGGUACGCCACUGUACUGUACGCUUCACAUGUGUGUCCCCUUUUUUCUGAAGCGUAUAAAUCAUUUUGAUCAGACUGGCAGCGGCACCAACAGUGAGCUUGAUACCGAUGACCAGUCUACCAUAUUUUGGCACCUGGCCAACGCCUGACCGGCCAGUCUGCCUCGUGAUGCGCUCUCCUGUUCCUGUACGUGGCAAGUCUUUCCGCGUCUCCAACAACAACAACAACAACAACAACAACAACAACAAAGCCUUUAGUCCCAAACAAGUUGGGGUAGGCUAGAGGUGAAACCCAUAAGAUCUCGCAACCAACUCAUGGCUCUGGCACAUGGAUAGCAAGCUUCCACGCACCCCUGUCCAUAGCUAGCUCUUUGUCGAUACUCCAAUCUUUCAGGUCUCUCUUAACGGACUCCUCCCAUGUCAAAAUCGGUCGCCCCGCCCUCUCUUGACAUUCUCCGCACGCUUUAGCCGUCCGCUAUACACUGGAGCUUCUGGAGGCCUGCGCUGAAUAUGCCCAAACCAUCUCAAAUGAUGUUGGACAAGCUUCUCCUCAAUUGGUGCUACCCCAACUCUAUCUCGUAUAUCAUCAUUCCGGACUCGAUCCUUCCUCGUGUGGCCACACAUCCAUCUCAACAUACGCAUCUCCGCACACCUAACUGUUGAAUAUGUCGCCUUUUAGUCGGCCAACACUCCGCGCCAUACAACAUUGCGGGUCGAACCGCCGUCCUGUAGAACUUGCCUUUUAGCUUUUGUGGCACUCUCUUGUCACAGAGAAUGCCAGAAGCUUGGCGCCACUUCAUCCAUCCGGCUUUGAUUCGACGGUUCACAUCUUCAUCAAUACCCCCAUCCUCCUGCAACAUUGACCCCAAAUAUCGAAAGGUGUCCUUCCGAGGUACCACCUGGCCAUCAAGGCUAACCUCCUCCUCCUCACAGCUAGUAGUACUGAAACCGCACAUCAUGUACUCGGUUUUAGUUCUACUAAGCCUAAACCCUUUCGAUUCCAAGGUUUGUCUCCAUAACUCUAACUUCCUAUUUACCCCCGUCCGACUAUCGUCAACUAGCACCACAUCAUCCGCAAAGAGCAUACACCAUGGGAUAUCUCCUUAUAUACCCCUUGUGACCUCAUCCAUCACCAAUGCAAAAAGAUAAGGGCUCAAAGCUGACCCCUGAUGCAGUCCUAUCUUAAUCGGGAAGUCAUCGGUGUCGACAUCACUUGUUCGAACACUUGUCACAACAUUAUUGUACAUGUCCUUGAUGAGGGUAAUGUACUUUGCUGGGACUUUGUGUUUCUCCAAGGCCCACCACAUGACAUUCCGCGGUAUCUUAUCAUAGGCCUUCUCCAAGUCAAUGAACACCAUAUGCAAGUCCUUCUGAUGCUCCCUAUAUCUCUCCAUAAGUUGUCGUACCAAGAAAAUGGCUUCCAUGGUCGACCUCCCAGGAUGAAACCAAACUGAUUUUUGGUCACGCUUGUCAUUCUUCUUAAGCGGUGCUCAAUGACUCUCUCCCAUAGCUUCAUUGUAUGGCUCAUCAGCUUAAUUCCACGGUAAUUAGUACAACUCUGAACAUCCCCCUUGUUCUUGAAGAUUGGUACUAAUAUACUCCGUCUCCAUUCUUCUGGCAUCUUGUUUGCCCGAAAAAUAAGGUUGAAAAGCUUGGUUAGCCAUACUAUCGCUAUGUCCCCGAGACCUUUCCACACCUCAAUGGGGAUACAAUCAGGGCCCAUCGCCUUGCCUCCUUUCAUCCUUUUUAAAGCCUCCUUCACCUCAGACUCCUGGAUGCGCCGCACAAAACGCAUGCUGGUCUCAUCAAAGGAGUCAUUCAGUUCAAUGGUAGAACUCUCAUUCUCCCCAUUGAACAGCUUGUCGAAGUACUCCCGCCAUCUAUGCUUAAUCUCUUCGUCCUUCACCAAGAGUUGGCCUGCUCCGUCCUUGAUGCAUUUGACUUGGCCAAUAUCCCUCGUCUUCCUCUCCCGGAUCUUAGCCAUCUUAUAGAUGUCCCUUUCACCUUCCUUCGUGCCUAACCGUUGGUAGAGGUCCUCAUAUGCCCGACCCCUUGCUUCACCAACAGCUCGCUUUGCGGCCUUCUUCGCCAUCUUGUACUUCUCUAUGUUGUCUGCACUCCUAUCCAGGUAUAGGCAUCUGAAGCAAUCUUUCUUCUCUUUAAGCGCCUUCUGGACAUCAUCAUUCCACCAUCAGGUAUCCUUAUCUUCGCUUCUCCUUCCCCUGGACACUCCAAACUCCUCCGAGGCCACCUUAUGAAUGCAAGUCGCCAUCUUCAUCCACACAUUGUCCGCAUCCCCCCCUUCCUCCCAAGGGCCCUCCUUAAAUACCCUCUCCUU
rnacentral:lncRNA from 1 species